GGUCCAGGGACACUUUUCAUAUCUUUGUUCUAAAACAAAGAGAGUUACAGGGCUGGCAGCUUGUUUCUUUGUUAGUAUAUGCCACUAGAAAGCCAAAAGGUGUGGUGGGGUUUCAUGUGUUUAUUUUCUGGUUUUGUAAUUUAUAAUGAUCUGAAUGGAUUACUUUGAAAUGGCUGUUGCUUAUGUAUGGGUGUUGUUUGCCCACAAGGAGUUAUCAGAGAUCCUUUCCACAUUUUGUAUCUUAGAAAAUCAAAAGGAAUUUUCUAGUGAGAGGAAAAAUACAUAGAAGAAGCCUCCACUGUUGGGUAACUCAGAUUUGUACCACUGACAGUGUCUCGUAAGUCCAAGGAAAUAGACAGCUUAAGAUCAAGGUUGUUGUCUUUCACUUAAACACUGGAUGUUGGAUAACUUUUCUCCUGAGAAGGAAGCACAAAUUUUUGUUAAUUUCUUUCUUCAUGGACUUGACAAGUUCUAGGGGAAAUCAGAAGUCAUGGCCCUUAAGCCACCUUGCUUCAGGACAAUUCUCCACCAUCCAUUUUCAAAGAACCAUCUGUGUAUUAAUUGUUUGAUAUUCCAUGAUUCAUUGGCAAACUCAAUGCUUUUAGAGCCCAGAAUUUUACUUUUUUGGAUUUGUGGCUCUAAAGAAGUGCUAAGUUUGCUCUACCACCCAGGCUGAUCAGCAGCAGCAAAGGGAAAGCGGUGGGGGUAGAGGGGGGUUUCCUUGUGGAGAGGUUCACUCACACCUCUAACCACCUCUGACCACAGCUGAGAGAAGCCCUGGGCCCAUAGGCAGUGCACGAUAUGCCAUCUACUCUUCACACAGCGAGGGGUCAUCAUGUGAGAGUGGAGAGGUCACCCCAGUCUCCUUUGCCAGAAUUUCAUAUUGUUCCCAGCUAUAAGCUUGUGAAACGCAGUAUGUGUUUUUGGUCAAAACAAUAAAAGAGGUUUAUUUUUCACU
rnacentral:lncRNA from 1 species